rnacentral:lncRNA from 1 species
GUAGGGGAAGCCGGGGUUCAAAGUGCCGGGGGUAGGUUGUUCCGAUCCAAAUAACUCCAUGACGAAAAGAGAUAGCAAUAAGUGUGAAGUGCGUCGCGAAACGUCAAAUCAUCCCGCUAUUGCGUCAGCCAUUUUAGUGACGCUGUGUCGGCGUGUGAGAGUGGUAAUGGAUUAGUGACCAAAAACAUCACGAUGAGAAACUAUAAACGAAAAACAGAACGGGGCAAGGUUUCAAUUGAGCUUUUGCAGCGGAAGAAUUUUCUAUUUUUGUUAAUUAAACGUUUUGUCAAAGUUGAUAAAUGUUAGAGAUGGUUACUAAUCUUAAGCUGUUUUUUAAUAUUUGUUAUUAUUUUUUAUAGUUUCUUUUUCAAUAAAUACUUUAAAUUGUAUGCCGUGAUGUUGAUUUUUCAAAAACUUUAAAAUUUUGUGCUAUUAUAAGUAAGAAACAUUAAAAUUUUGUACUUUUAUAAAUAAAACUUUCAUAAAUAUUCAGUUAGA